rnacentral:rRNA from 1 species
AAGAUUAAGCCAUGCAUGUCUAAGUAUAAGCAAUUAUACAGCGAAACUGCGAAUGGCUCAUUAUAUAAGUUAUCGUUUAUUUGAUAGUACCUUACUACUUGGAUAACCGUGGUAAUUCUAGAGCUAAUACAUGCUAAAAAUCCCGACUUCGGAAGGGAUGUAUUUAUUAGAUACAAAACCAAUGCCCCUCGGGGCUCUCUGGUGAUUCAUGAUAACUCGUCGAAUCGCAC